UGCGGAGGGUUUGAAGCAGGCCCAGGAGCGAGCCCAUGGUCUUCCGACGCGGGGCCAGGGGCGGGCCCCAGGAUCCGGAGCUUCGGGCGGGGCCGAGUACGGGUUUGGGGUCCGGGAGGCGGGGCCAGUUAGGGCGAGAGUCCCUGGGAUCGUCGGGUCAGGCCUUGGGCUAACGUAGGCACUCUCGCAGUUCCUCCUUCAGGAAGGUCUUUUUAGCAGGGGCCUUACGGGUGUGCGCUUUGGUCCUGGAGGGCUUAUCCUAGCCUCCUCUCCAUCAGCGCCACCCGUCUGGGGCCCGAAAGGAGGGAGCUUUCCCUCUGUCCCCCAGCCUUUGGACUGUCACCAAACAAGCCAUUCGUUCACCAAAUACUUAUUAAGCGCCUACCAUGUGCCUGACAACGGAGAUGUAACGCUGUUGUUCCACACCAGAACCAAAUGAGCGCAAGAUCUGACAAAGAAAAAAAAAGUCCCUGUAUCCUGAGAUGGAGUCACCUGAGGAUCCACAGCAAGUCCUAACCAGGGAUGGGUCUGGGUGAUUAAGGAAGUUUGGCUUCAGAACUGGGCCAGGGGCACUGCUUUGCUUUUGCUGUUUUGAUCAGCUCUCUGCCUGCAGGAGACGGAAAAUCAAUGGGAACAGG
rnacentral:lncRNA from 1 species